GAUGAACGCUGGCGGCGUGCCUAAUACAUGCAAGUCGAGCGAACGGACGAGAAGCUUGCGUCUCUGAGGUUAGCGGCGGACGGGUGAGUAACACGGGGAUAACCUACCUAUAAGACUGGGAUAACUUCGGGAAACCGGAGCUAAUACCGGAAAAUAUUUUGAACCGCAAGGUGCAAAAGUUAAAGACGGUCUUGCUGUCACUUAUAGAUUGAUCCGCGCUGCAUUAGCUAGUUGGUAAGGUAACGGCUUACCAAGGCAACGAUGCAUAGCCGACCUGAGAGCGUCGUCGGCCACCCUGUCUCUGAGACACGGUCGAGACUCCUGCGCGGGGCAGCAGUCGGGACUCUUCCGCGAUGCGCGAGAGCGUGACGGUGCAACGCCGCGUGAGUGCUGAUCGUCUUCGGCUCGUAAAGCUCUGUUAUUCGUAAAGAACAUAUGUGUAAGUACCUGUGCUCAUCUUGACGGUACCUAGUCAGAAAGCCACGGCUAACUCCGUG
rnacentral:rRNA from 1 species